UACGUAGGGGGCAAGCGUUGUCCGGAAUCAUUGGGCGUAAAGCGCGUGUAGGCGGUCCGGUAAGUCCGCUGUGAAGGUCGGGGGCUCAACCCUCGGAUGCCGGUGGAUACUGUCGGGCUUGAGUACGGAAGAGGCGAGUGGAAUUCCUGGUGUAGCGGUGAAAUGCGCAGAUGUCAGGAGGAACACCAAUUGCGAAGGCAGCUCGCUGGGACGUUACUGACGCUGAGACGCGAAAGCGUGGGGAGCAAACAGG
rnacentral:rRNA from 1 species